UGGGGAAUAUUGCACAAUGGGCGAAAGCCUGAUGCAGCAACGCCGCGUGAGUGAUGAAGGUCUUCGGAUUGUAAAGCUCUGUCUUUUGGGACGAUAAUGACGGUACCAAAGGAGGAAGCCACGGCUAACUACGUGCCAGCAGCCGCGGUAAUACGUAGGUGGCGAGCGUUGUCCGGAUUUACUGGGCGUAAGGGUGCGUAGGCGGAUGUUUAAGUGAGAUGUGAAAUACCCGGGCUUAACUUGGGUGCUGCAUUUCAAACUGGAUAUCUAGAGUGCAGGAGAGGAGAAUGGAAUUCCUAGUGUAGCGGUGAAAUGCGUAGAGAUUAGGAAGAACACCAGUGGCGAAGGCGAUUCUCUGGACUGUAACUGACGCUGAGGCACGAAAGCGUGGGUAGCAAACAGGAUUAGAUACCC
rnacentral:rRNA from 1 species